rnacentral:rRNA from 1 species
UACGAAGGGGGCUAGCGUUGCUCGGAAUCACUGGGCGUAAAGGGUGCGUAGGCGGGUCUUUAAGUCAGGGGUGAAAUCCUGGAGCUCAACUCCAGAACUGCCUUUGAUACUGAAGAUCUUGAGUUCGGGAGAGGUGAGUGGAACUGCGAGUGUAGAGGUGAAAUUCGUAGAUAUUCGCAAGAACACCAGUGGCGAAGGCGGCUCACUGGCCGAUACUGACGCUGAGGAGACG